rnacentral:rRNA from 1 species
GAUUGCCUCAGUAACGGCGAAGUGAAGCGGCAACAGCUCAAAUUUGAAAUCUGGCAGCCUCUGGGCCGUCCGAGUUGUAAUUUGAAGAGGAUGCUUUUGGCGAGGCGCCUUCCGAGUGCCCUGGAACGGGACGCCACAGAGGGUGAGAGCCCCGUAUGGUUGGACGCCGAGCCUCUGUAAAGCUCCUUCGACGAGUCGAGUAGUUUGGGAAUGCUGCUCAAAAUGGGAGGUAAACCCCUUCUAAAGCUAAAUACUGGCCAGAGACCGAUAGCGCACAAGUAGAGUGAUCGAAAGAUGAAAAGCACUUUGAAAAGAGAGUUAAAUAGCACGUGAAAUUGUUGAAAGGGAAGCGCUUGCGACCAGACUUGUGCCCGUCGAAUCAGUCGCCUCUCGCGGGCGGCGCACUUCGGCGGGCUCAGGCCAGCAUCAGUUCGCUGCAGGGGGAGAAAGGCGGCGGGAAUGUGGCUCUUCGGAGUGUUAUAGCCCGCCGCGCAAUACCCCUCGGCGGACUGAGGACCGCGCAUCUGCAAGGAUGCUGGCGUAAUGGUCGUCAGCGACCCGUCUUGAAACACGGACCAAGGAGUCGUCCUAAUAUGCGAGUGUUCGGGUGUAAAACCCCUGCGCGUAAUGAAAGUGAACGGAGGUGAGAGCUUCGGCGCAUCAUCGACCGAUCCUGAUGUUCUCGGAUGGAUUUGAGUAAGAGCAUAUUGGGCCGGACCCGAAAGAAGGUGAACUAUGCCUGUAUAGGGUAAAAGCCAGAGGAAACUCUGGUGGAGGCUCGCAGCGGUUCUGACGUGCAAAUCGAUCGUCAAAUAAUGGGCAUGGGGGCGAAAGACUAAUCGA